AGUGGCGGACGGGUGAGUAACGCGUGAGAAUCUGCCUUCAGGUCGGGGACAACAGAGGGAAACUUCUGCUAAUCCCGGAUGAGCCUUAGGGUAAAAAAUUUAUUGCCUGGAGAUGAGCUCGCGUCUGAUUAGCUAGUUGGUAAGGUAAAAGCUUACCAAGGCAACGAUCAGUAGCUGGUCUGAGAGGAUGAGCAGCCACACUGGGACUGAGACACGGCCCAGACUCCUACGGGAGGCAGCAGUGGGGAAUUUUCCGCAAUGGGCGAAAGCCUGACGGAGCAAGACCGCGUGGGGGAGGAAGGCUCUAGGGUUGUAAACCCCUUUUCUUUGGGAAGAACAAAAUGACGGUACCAAAGGAAUCAGCCUCGGCUAACUCCGUGCCAGCAGCCGCGGUAAUACGGAGGAGGCAAGCGUUAUCCGGAAUGAUUGGGCGUAAAGCGUCCGCAGGUGGCAAUGUAAGUCUGCUGUCAAAACCCAGGGCUCAACUCUGGUCAGGCAGUGGAAACUACAUAGCUAGAGUUCGGUAGGGGCAAAGGGAAUUCCCGGUGUAGCGGUGAAAUGCGUAUAGAUCGGGAAGAACAUCGGUGGCGAAAGCGCUUUGCUAGACCGAAACUGACACUCAGGGACGAAAAGCUAGGGGAGCGAAUGGGAUUAGAUACCCC
rnacentral:rRNA from 1 species